GCCUUUGUGGUGUAACGGUAGCACAUUCGGUGCGUAUUUGAGAGUUCCAGGUUCGACUCCCGGUGCGGGCA
rnacentral:tRNA from 1 species